UUUGCCCAAGCCUGUUUGCUCCUCUUAUGAAUUUGCCCUCCCGUCACGUUUUCGUCCAGUUAGUGCCGUUUGACUGUGUGUUGACCGUCUAUGGACUUUUCGAUGGACCAUUUUGCCCCUCCUUUCUUACUCUCUCAGCAAACACUUCCAAGUGGGACCAUCAUCGAAAAAACCAUCUCAUAUCCUCUCUUCCUUCUCUCCCGUUGGUCAAACCCUAGCCCCAGAUCCCAUUCCCUCUCUCAAAUCUUAACCCCCGUGCACCACCCUUAGUUCUCCGCCGCCAUGCUUUAGAGCAAGGCCACAGGGCAACCAUCCACACCAGCGCCCGCGUGCGGUUCAAUCCAACCGAGCUCGUCGGUGGCCAACCUCGUCGGAGUAAGCACGUAGGUCUGUCGCCGUUCUUCACCACCAUCGGAAUGCCACUGCAUCCACCUGGGUUGCCGUCACUGGUCAUGCACUCUGGCCUCUAGAUCCAACCUGUCCUUGAGGGGAUCCGCCCGCCGUCGCCCCGCCGGAGAUCCCCAAUGUCUGCUACUACCAACACCAUCCCCUGCAUCAAGCUCCAGAUCCAACAUGUCCUCGCCGGGAUCCGCCCGUUGUCGCCGCAUCAGAGACCCCUGACGUCCUCUACUUCCAGCGCCAUCCCCUGCAUCAAGCUGUUGCGCAAGCUCAUCCUCCUUUCUUCUCGAGGCUUUCAUGAGCUCCGGCUAGAGAUAUGCAAUGGUUGCGUCCCCGUUGACCCUCCUCCAUGCCAACGUUGGCUAGCCUCCAUCGACGCCUCCCGCUGGCCCAGAUCCAUAGCGCCCCGAGGAAGGCCAGCGGGGAUCCGGUUAGUGAUGGGGCCACAAAUCUCGUCGGUGGCCAAUUUAGGUGGCUGCUGGGGACCCAUGGCGGCGAGAGAUGGUGGAGGAGGGUGGCACGCGCCUUCCCCGGGCUUCCUUCGACGCUGCAGCGGCGGUGGCCAAGCGCCUAGCGAGCUCCGACGCCGAUUCAUUUGCUCCGGCGAGCACAUCCUCAUCCUACAGAGGGUGUCCUUUAAAUUGUUGGCUUGACGUUUGUUAAGACUUGACACAAUGUAAUUAGCUUGUAUAGCUGGCAACUGUGGACUGAUCAUUAAAUAUAUUCGAGAUGAGACUGACGUUAAGUA